rnacentral:rRNA from 1 species
AAAGAGGGGAAGCAGAACCAAGUCAAGAUGAUAUGGGUCGCCCCUUCUUCUUGCGCCAAAGAUCUUACCAUUUCCGAAGGAACUAGGGCUACAUUUUUUUUCAAUUUCCAUUCAAGAGUUUCUACUGUUUCCACGCCCUUUUCUUGA